GGGGCUGUGGCUCAGUGGUAGAGUGCCUGCUUUGUAAGCAGAAGGUCCCAGGUUCAAUCCCUGGCAUCUCCC